rnacentral:lncRNA from 1 species
AAAAUAUAUUUCAGAUAAUAAUGAGUGCUUCAUGCGGUAUAUGUUUGCAGGGUGACAUUACUUCACACUUCUUCAGCUUGGGCUGUACUAGAUGUACAAUGGCAUUAGUCUCACUCGCCAUGAGAGAAACAUGGUCUCGGGACUAAGGACAUUAUUCACAGAUCAAAGGCAUUAAUAUGUCUACAUUUACUGUUGGGCCAAACUACCUCUAGUGAGAAGACAGUGCAAGAAAGAUGAAGCAUUAUAGACAGUACAAAGAGUCGACCAGUAAGCAGCAAGUGGCACUCAAACAUCACAGUGGCACGCAAACAGGUCCUUGACAUGCUUCUAAGAGCUUAGCAGUGAGCGGCAGUGUGUCACUGUCGCACCCAAAUAGGAUAAUUUGAUAAUGGCAAGUUGCACAUCUAUCCAUGUGGUCCUAAAAAAUUAGUCGCUCACAGUUACUGCAAUAUGGUAAGCCUAUACUUUGCAUAGAUUUGGAAUGCCAAAGCAGAUACCAAGACAAAGUUCUUGUUGCCUCUCAUGCUUAUGCUCAUAUAUCACGGGUGGUAUGACCAUGCUUGUAUAUAUAUGGUCUUGGUAUAUUGGAGUUUUCCUAAGCUUGGUCCUGGUACAGUACAAACUGUCUCAAGUCUCAAAAUGAAUUUGUAAUUUUGUACCAACUCAUGGGUGUGGUAGCUACACAUAUAUAGGGUGGCUAGUAGCAGAGUUGAUAUGGCAUAUUGGGAGUUAGAUAGGUAAGGCUGUUUAAUGAUUUAAUUCACAAGCUUCUGUACCAUAAAUUUUGUACAGAACAACAAAUAAACACUGUAUUAAUUCACAAAGCUUUAUUUUCAUUAAUUCAUAAGGUAGGUAUAUAUGACCGCCCAAUCAACAAGUACUAAUUCACAAGCUUUAUUUUUCAUAUAUUAGCCUUUUUUAAAAACUGGUUGUUACUCAUGUGUACUACUGUGUCCCCAUCUAAAAUGUUUUUCUAAUGUUCGAUGACCACUUUAUAUUGCUAGGUACAGACCACAUGAUGACUUUAACGUCCUUAUAAAGACCAUGGUCCUUUUCUUGUUUUCUUGGUGCUCUUUGUGUGAUACGUAAUUGGAGAUUCAGGACUGAUCAGGUCAAUAUAUAGGUGGCCUGCUCUAAUGUUUUUGGCUGUAGCGAUUUGACACUGAAUGCAUGCAGUUGCAUACACACGCAAUGAAUCUUCUAUUGAUCAACAGAGGUGUAGUAUGCAAUAAUGUAGUCUCUAGGAGAAGGACGCAAACAAAUAUAUCAGAGCUAUCUAAAAUGUGGAUUUUUGUUGCCAUCCAAAGCGAAUUGAGUGGUGCACCUAGAAGCAUAUGGUGUAAUGGUGACGUCAGGCAAGACAUGUUGCCAGGCAUGGAACACUGAGUCUUGCUCUCACAACAAAGACUAAUCAUAUAGGGAUUCUGAUUUUUUUUUUCACGGGAAGGUUAAUUAUAUAAAUAAAUUACACGUAGAAAAAACUAAAUUAAAAAGAUAUUCUAUCAAGAUUCUUCAUUUGUCUUCUUUUCUAGUGACUUUCCUUGACGUAUCCAACGAUCAACCCCAGUACAUUGGGCAUGCUGCAAGAUCAAAUGUUCUGGUACCAGUCAAAAAUGCAUCUCAAUUGAUGAAAGAACAUCGGCAGCUGCAUUGCAAGGUACAACCUAAGCUGCAGAUUCAUCAAUCCAACCCUUUAUUCAUCAUGUUGAAUGCCUGAUUUUCUCUAUGUGGCCAUCAAUGAUGAAAUCAAUGACCUGGAGUCAUUGUUCUUGUGAUAAAUGCCUAGAAGCACCCCUCCCCUUUAGAUAAUAGCCACAAAUUAUAUAGCCUCUUGCUG